AUGCCAAUUAGGGGCAGAUCCCAAUGGCCCAAGGUAAAUCCUGGAUUUGAUAUGAUCUCUCCCAAACUUACCAAGAGUGAUGGACGUCCAAGAACUAGGAGGAUAAAGAAUUACACCGAAGGUGGAACCGGUAGAAGACAUAAAUGCAAAAGAUGUGGAGCAAUAGGCCAUCUUCGAAAGACAUGCAAGGAGCCUAAGAUGGAAAGUGACGCGGAUCGAGAUGCUACUCCUCCUCCGCGGUAUUCAUAA
rnacentral:rRNA from 1 species